UCUUUCUUUUGAUUUGGAUUUCUUUUGAUUUUGCACCCUCCUCUUUCUUUUUUUCUCUUUUUUUUAAUGCCCCAGUUGGCUGUUCUGCUGAUCCUCGAGAUGCAGCUGAGUGAUCUUCUUUUCUUGCUCAAGAAGUCGGGAAAUCUCGUCAGGAAUCCCUUCAACAUCAUCUUCUUCCGCUUCGAAUACAGGGAAUUCAAAAUUGGGAGAUGACGUCGGAUCAUUAUGUUCAAUGGGUUUAAGAAUCAACCUGCAUAAUGAUUUGAUAUGAAAAGCUUUUUGGAAAUCAAACAAGACAA
rnacentral:lncRNA from 1 species